rnacentral:rRNA from 1 species
GAUGAACGCUAGCGACAGGCUUAACACAUGCAAGUCGAGGGGCAGCGGGGGUAGCAAUACCCGCCGGCGACCGGCGCACGGGUGAGUAACACGUGUGCAACCAACCCCGUACCGGGAGAUAACCCGCGGAAACGUGGACUAACAUCCCAUAACACUGGAGGAUCGCAUGAUCUUUCAUUUAAAAUUCCGGUGGUACGGGACGGGCACGCGCGACAUUAGGUAGUUGGCGGGGUAACGGCCCACCAAGCCGACGAUGUCUAGGGGGUUCUGAGAGGAAGGUCCCCCCACACUGGAACUGAGACACGGUCCAGACUCCUACGGGAGGCAGCAGUGAGGAAUAUU